rnacentral:lncRNA from 1 species
GGGGGGGGGAGGGAUUUUCCCCUUCACCUCCCCCCCAGCUCUCACCACACGGCGACCCCAGAGAGACCCCACACACACCCCGCGCCCCCUCCGAGCCCCCCGACCCCCAGCACUCACCCGGCCCGCCAGGGGACGGGCAGAGCCGCUAAGGAUCUGCUCGAAAAGCCGUGGGGGGCUGUCGCCUGCCGUGUGUGUGUGUGUGUAUGGGGAAGGAAGGGCAGCGUUUGGGGGUGCCGGAGGACGCCGCGCGCCCCCCUUUCGGGCCGCCGCUGUUUGUUGGUGUGAGACGGCGCCGCCGGGGGAGGAGGGGCCCCAACAGCUGAGAGGAUGUAAACAGAAGGGCACGUGACCGACCCCUCCGCGCCGGCUCCCAGAGGGGAAGGGAUAAAGGGGGGGGGUUGGAUUCGGCCCGCGAUUGGCGGCGCUCGGAGAGAGCGAGGGCCAAUGGGAGGCCUCGCCUCCGCGGCUGUCGUCAUCAGUCGCUGGGGCACGAGGGGAGGCUUCCCGCCGGGGGGCAGAGCCCACAUGCAAGCGAGAGGCUGAAGGUUUUGAGCUGUGGCCAACGCUUGAGUAGUGAUGGGACAGGAUUUCUAAAAGUCCUGAGACAUGUGCUACAUCAAAAUGUGGCUGUUAAGGGCCCGGGAGUGAGCAUUAUAGGGGGUUGGGGGCCUUACUUUUUGCUGGCCCUAAGAAGAGAAUGUUUUUUUCCACAAAGAAUUUUUGGACAGAUUUUGCACAUGAACAUCAGAUUAGGAAGGUCAUUGAGCCCUCCUCUCUCAAAGCUGAAAAGAAACUUCAAUAUUGAGGUCUAACAGAAAAUUCUACCCAGUCAAUUAUGGUUCAACUAAUGCCUUAUCCAUCUUCAAAACAGAAUUAAGGUGCAUAUUUUCUGUUGCAGUAACUUGCAUCUUGAUGAGAAGCUCUAUAUUAAAGCACAGUGAACUUCCAUAAAACAACAUUUAUUUAAACUAAUGUGCCCCCUAAACUUCAUUAUUCUUUCAAAGUGUUUUUUGUUUGUUUUCUAUUUAUUUUCUGUGCAGAUUUAACCAUUACUUAUUCUUUCAGUAUUUUGUCCUGAUGUUCUGUUAUUUUUUUAAUGAUCGUACAAAUAAAGUAUGAAGUAGAUGACA